UUGAACGUGCUUGCACGGACUUGACGUUGGUUUACCAGCGAGUGGCGGACGGGUGAGUAACACGUAGGUAACCUGCCCCAAAGCGGGGGAUAACAUUUGGAAACAGAUGCUAAUACCGCAUAACAAUUUGAAUCGCAUGAUUCAAAUUUAAAAGAUGGCUUCGGCUAUCACUUUGGGAUGGACCUGCGGCGCAUUAGCUUGUUGGUAGGGUAACGGCCUACCAAGGCUGUGAUGCGUAGCCGAGUUGAGAGACUGAUCGGCCACAAUGGAACUGAGACACGGUCCAUACUCCUACGGGAGGCAGCAGUAGGGAAUCUUCCACAAUGGGCGCAAGCCUGAUGGAGCAACACCGCGUGAGUGAAGAAGGGUUUCGGCUCGUAAAGCUCUGUUGUUAGAGAAGAACGUGCGUGAGAGCAACUGUUCACGCAGUGACGGUAUCUAACCAGAAAGUCACGGCUAACUACGUGCCAGCAGCCGCGGUAAUACGUAGGUGGCAAGCGUUAUCCGGAUUUAUUGGGCGUAAAGCGAGCGCAGGCGGUUUGAUAAGUCUGAUGUGAAAGCCUUUGGCUUAACCAAAGAAGUGCAUCGGAAACUGUCAGACUUGAGUGCAGAAGAGGACAGUGGACUCCAUGUGUAGCGGUGGAUGCGUAGAUAUAUGGAAGAACACCAGUGGCG
rnacentral:rRNA from 1 species